rnacentral:rRNA from 1 species
GACAGAGGGUGCAAACGUUGCUCGGAAUUACUGGGCGUAAAGCGCGUGUAGGCUGACCUUCAAGUCGGACGUGAAAUCCCUGAGCUCAACUCAGGAACUGCAUCCGAAACUGAAGGCCUAGAGUAGUGGAGAGGGAAGCAGAAUUCCUGGUGUAGAGGUGAAAUGCGUAGAUAUCAGGAGGAACACCGGUGGUGUAGACGGCUCACUGGACCGUAACUGACGCUGAGACACGAAAGCGUGGGUAGCAAACAGG